rnacentral:rRNA from 1 species
CCUACGGGGGGCAGCAGUGAGGAAUUUUGCGCAAUGGGCGAAAGCCUGACGCAGCAACGCCGCGUGAGGGAAGAAGGCCUUCGGGUUGUAAACCUCUUUCGACUGGAAAGAAGUCCCUCGCAAGAGGGAUUGACGGUACCAGGAGAAGAAGCCACGGCUAACUCUGUGCCAGCAGCCGCGGUAAGACAGAGGUGGCAAGCGUUGUUCGGAGUUAUUGAGCGUAAAGGGUGUGUAGGUGGAUGGAUGAGUCGAAAGCCCACAGCUUAACUGUGGAAGUGCCUUUGAAACUAUCUGACUAGAGUGCAGGAGAGGAGGGUGGAAUUCCCGGUGUAGAGGUGAAAUUCGUAGAUAUCGGGAGGAACACCAGCGGCGAAGGCGGCCCUCUGGACUGUAACUGACACUGAAACACGAAAGCGUGGGGAGCAAACAGGAUUAGAUACCCCGGUAGUC